UCCUUCGAAGAGUCGAGUUGUUUGGGAAUGCAGCUCAAAAUGGGUGGUAAAUUUCAUCUAAAGCUAAAUAUUGGCGAGAGACCGAUAGCGCACAAGUAGAGUGAUCGAAAGAUGAAAAGCACUUUGAAAAGAGAGUUAAACAGUACGUGAAAUUGUUGAAAGGGAAGCGCUUGCAAUCAGACUCACUUGCGGUUGAUCAACGUUCCUUCUGGUUCGUGCACUCUGCCGUUUGUGGGCCAGCAUCAGUUGGUGCGGUGGGACAAAGGCAGCAGGAAUGUGGCUCCCCCGGGAGUGUUAUAGCCUGCUGUGUAAUGCCACCAGCGCCGACUGAGGUCCGCGAUUCGUCUAGGAUGCUGGCUUAAUGGUUGU
rnacentral:rRNA from 1 species